UCCCGUUGAUCCUGCGGGAGGUCGCUGCUAUCAGAAUCCGAUUUAACUAAGCUAGUUCAGGGGGCCUUCGGGUCACCAGCAGACAGUUCAGUAACAUGUCGAUAAUCUGCCCUUAGGUCCGGUAUAACCUUGGUAAACUGAGGCUAAUAACGGAUAGUUGAUUGAAACUGGAAUGUUUUUUCAGCAAAAGGUUACGCCUAAGGAUGAGUCGGCACCCGAUUAGGUAGUUGGAGGGGUAAUGGCCCACCAAGCCAGAGAUCGGUAGGGGCCUUGAAAGAGGUAGCCCCGAGGAGGACACUGAGAUAACGGUCCUGACUCUACGGAGUAUAGCAAGUGCGAAACCUUUACACUACACGAAAGUGUGAUAAGGGGAUUCUGAGUGCUCAUGCAUUGCGUGAGCUUUUGCCGAGUGUAAAUAGCUCGGAGAAUAAGUGGUGGGCAAGACUGGUGCCAGCAGCCGCGGUAACACCAGCGCCACAAGUGGGGACCGUUGUUAUUUGGCCUAAAGCGUCCGUAGCCGGUUGUGAAAAUCUUCUGUGAAGUUGCUUAGCUUAACUAAGCGAAGUGCAGGAGACACUACAGAACUCGAGACCGGGAGGAGUCAGAGGUAUUUCUGGGGUAGCGGUAAAAUGCAAUAAUCCUAGGAAGACCACCGGUGGCGAAGGCGUCUGACCAGAACGGGUCUGACGGUGAGGGACGAAAGCCAGGGGAGCAAACCGGAUUAGAUACCCGAGUAGUCCUGGCCGUAAACGCUGUGUGUUAGGUGUUGCAUAUUCCACGAGAAUAUGCAGUGUCGUAGCGAAGGCGAUAAACACACCGCCUGGGUAGUACGGUCGCAAGGCUGAAACUUAAAGGAAUAGGCGGGGGAGCACAACAAGGGGUGCGGCGUGCGGUUUAAUCCAACUCAACACGGAAAUCUCACCAGAGGCGACGGCAGGAUGAAAGUCAGGUUGAAGGCCUUACUCAACAAGCCGAGAGGUGGUGCAUGGCCGUCGUCAGCUCGUGCUGCGAAGUGUCCUGUUAAGUCAGGCAACGAGCGAGACCUGCACUUACAAUUGCCAGCAACAUCUUUAGAUGGAUUGGGCACAUUGUAAGGACUGCCUUGGAAACAAGGAGGAAGGUGCAGGCAACGGUAGGUCUGUAUGCCCCGAAUCCUCUGGGCUACACGCGCGCAACAAUGGUUGGGACAAUGGGAUACAACCCCGAAAGGGGAAGUUAAACCUCUAAACCCAAUCUAAGUCCAGAUUGAGGGCUGUAACUCGCCCUCAUGACGUCGGAAUCCCUAGUAAUCAGACUUUAUCAUAGUCUGGUGAAUAUGUCCCUGCUCCUUGCACUCACCGCCCGUCAAGCCAACCGAGCAGGUUUUUGAUGAAACCUAGCAUAUUAGCUGGGUUGAAUCAGAGGUCAGUGAGGUGGGCUAAGUCGUCACAAGGUA
rnacentral:rRNA from 1 species